UAGAACGCUGGCGGAGUUGCCUAACACAUGCAAGUCGAGCGGCAGCGCGAGUAGUUUACUACUUGGCGGCGAGCGGCGGACGGCUGAGUAACGCGUGGGAACAUGCCCCAAAGUGAGGAAUAACUGCCCGAAAGGGUAGCUAAUGCCGCAUACGAUCUUCGGAUUAAAGGAUUUAUCCGCUUUGGGAGUGGCCUGCGUACGAUUAGAUAGUUGGUGAGGUAAUGGCUCACCAAGUCUACGAUCGUUAACUGGUUUGAGAGGAUGAUCAGUCAGACUGGAACUGAGACACGGUCCAGACUCCUACGGGAGGCAGCAGUGAGGAAUCUUCCACAAUGACGAAAGUCUGAUGGAGCAACUCCGCGUGCAGGAUGAAGGCCUUCGGGUCGUAAACUGCUUUUAUGAGUGAAGAAUAUGACGGUAACUCAUGAAUAAGGGUCGGCUAACUACGUG
rnacentral:rRNA from 1 species